GAAAUGCGAUAAGUAAUGUGAAUUGCAGAAUUCAGUGAAUCAUCGAAUCUUUGAACGCACAUUGCGCCCGCCAGUAUUCUGGCGGGCAUGCCUGUUCGAGCGUCAUUUCAUCCAUCAAGCCCCCGGCUUGUGUUGGGGACCUGCGGCUGCCCGCAGGCCCUGAAAAACAGUGGCGGGCUCGCUGUCACACCGAGCGUAGUAGCAUACAUUCUCGCUCAGGGCGUGCUGCGGGUCCCGGCCGUUAAACGACCUUCAUAACCCAAGGUUGACCUCGGAUCAGGUAGGAAGACCCGCUGAACUUAAGC
rnacentral:misc_RNA from 1 species